UGGAGUCUCUCCCACAGAGACCAUAAAGUGAGAGGAAAGGAAAGAAAACCCCUCCGCUGCAGGGGUUUGUCUGCCCUGGUUCCCUCUGUUCCUCGCCCAACUGGCCCUCUGUCUUGGGCCCGCCCCACUCUAGGCAGACAAGACCUUGGGGUCUUGACCCCACUGACCACUUUCUCCCCUGCGAACACUCUCUGCCGUGUCCCUCGCGGCCCCCACUCCUGAGAGUCCGCUCACUUCCCGGGAGGCUGCUUCUCAGCCUUGUUUGCGGCCCCACCUUCCUUGCCGCCCCCGCCCCCCUCGCGGGGGAGGGUCCGGCCGCAGGCGCCCGAGCACCCGAGUCCGAGCUGGGCAGCUUUUUAGUGGAAGCGCAGGGCCCACGGCCGGGAGCAUGAACGGCGAAUACAGACAGCUUGGUUUCCUCGCAUGUAAAACGGGACGAGGAAGAGGUUGGUGAAAAUAAUGUGAACAAUGGUACCAUCUCGUGUGGGCACGUGGGAAGAGAACGAAUUCAACCUCUUUUUGAUUACCUUGUCAAGCCAAACGCCACCUGACCUUAAUCUGGACUACAGAGACCUGAAACUGACACUAGCCCCCUCAUACGAGGCAAGCCGUAUACAGCAACCACAGCAUCACAAGCAAAUCAGGUUAUGAUGCUGCUGAUUGACAUAUGAUACCCUGUAGGCGAUGUGGGAGAGAGAGGCCAUGACUGCAGGAGUAGAGUCCUUCAUGGAGGUCUGAGGAGGCUCUAAAAACACCACCACCGGAAAUUCUCCCAAGUCUGCAUCUCACGGCAAUGCAGACUUUUGCAGAGUGCGUCCAGGUGUAGCUGCACAGUGCACCCCAUCAGAUUAAGACCUGGCCUGCUCCUAGACCAUAGAUCUUGCCAGAUACAGUUCAUGCUCCAUUAUCCACUCUAAUGGAGGAAAGUUGGACAGCAUAAUUAAAAACAAUGGGCAACC